UUUUUUUUUUUUUUUUUUUUUUAAUUUCAACAAUGGGGGAAAAAUGAGUUCCUUAAAGCAAUGCAGCUGAACAGUUUGUCCUGCUUAAACACAUGCUUUUAAUUUCAAUUAUGUAAGGCACCUUGCAGUGUUAGCAAAAUGUCUUCUUUGUUAGCUAUAUGUGUAUCGCCAUGGGAAAUUACCAAACUGUCACAAGACUCGCUGAUUAAAGAAUAGCCUGCCAGAGUGUGUGUGCCUUUGCCCAGUGUGACUCUUAGGUAUUAGGCUAAGGAAAACAGUUUAACAAAAUGUAGUGUGAAUCAUUCCUGAUAAGUGAAUAAAGCAUUGUGACCAAGCAAUCAGAUUAUUCACUUAUCAGGAAUCGACUGUACUGAUAGUUUGCCUGAUCGUUUUUGUUCCUCAUCUCUGUUGUAGUUUCACUACUUUGCUGUGUUCUGUUUUUUCUCUCAUGCUCUUAGUAAAAUCACUGGGAAUAUCCCUUCGUGUGAUCAUGAAACGUGCUACUGAGUAACAAAUAAAAAAAAAUUUAAAUAUAAAAAUGAUAUCUUAACAAAAUCUAUGCACUUGCUAUCAGGAACACAAUACUGGAUGUGUCUUAUAUAUAUUGAACUAUAAUAGUAUUCGAUUUCUUAAAUAAAGCUUAAGAAAGGAUUCUGUUGUCUGUAAAAUUUUAUGAGCAUUAAAUGGAACAAAAAAAUGUUUCUAGGAUUGGGCGCUUUUUGUUAUAUGAAAUCUUCCUGGGUAUAUGGUCUUUAACCAUGCCCAGGCAAAUGUUAAUUAAUUCGCUUGAUAUUUCAUUAAUAAUGGAGAUUUUGAAAAUUAGGCUUACUGAAAUCUGGGGGGAGAAAAAGUCUUGCCAUUCAGUGACUUGUAGCAAAAGAUUCUAAGAUGCAGAAAUUUUGGUCUUUCUGUAUUUGUAGAAGCAAACGUGUUUGGUUUUGCACUAAAAUCAAAAAAAUAGCUAAAAGAUAUGAAUCAAAAAAUGCUAGAAAACAAUACAAUACUGUACUUUUUGGCAUAUGGCUUUUUUUCCUCCUGAUUCUAGAUAGGUUUUGAAUUAAGACAUGAAAACCCAUAUACUCAAAAUUCCACAGAUUCAACCCUGGAGGUUAAAGCAUCUUUUUGGGGAAGAUCCAUGGCUUACUGUAUGUUUCCUGUAUUGAGCCUUCUCUUAAAAAAAAAAACAUUUUCACAUCAAAACCCAUGAAUUAAAUGGGAAUUGAAUAGGUAAAACUGUUGAGUACACUGAAAAAAAUUAUUCCUUCAAUGGCUGUAUAUUUGCCACGAAAUUGUAGAUUUUAAACAAUCUGAUUUUUAUGGAAAUGGCCAUAAUUCUUGUAUUUAUCAAACUUUCAAUAAUGUCAGCCUUUGGCAGAAAGAUCCAGGAGAAUGAGGGGAGGGGAGGGAGAGGGGUUGCUUUCUUUUUUUCUUUUGAACUGCAUUACUGCCUCAAUUUUCAUAUGCCAUUAUAUUAUCUGAAAAAAAAAAAAAUUAAAUUGUGGAAAUCUAUCUGCUGCUUGUAUCCUUCUAUUCAUGCAUCUUUAGUAAACGUUACUGAGCUCAACAUCCAGUGGCCAGGUGCACCAGCCUUGUAAGCCAAAAACACUGCUCCACCAGAGAGGUCACAGGGAAGAUUUGCCUUGGUGGGCAGCAGGAUGGUCCUGUCCAUCCCACAUCAUUACAGUGCUCAGGUGGGAACCCUGCCCUGCUUUUCAAGGGCUGCUGAUGUAACACAAAUAUUAAAUAAUCACAAUGAUUAGCUCAUAUUUGUAUUCCCUCUGAUUUUCCUCAUUAGCAGACUUUCUUUUUUUUUUCUUUUUUUUUUUUUUCUCCAUUAAAGGGAACUGGAAAGUUGCAGUCAUUUUCUGAAUCAUUUGCCCCUGUUGAUAACCUAAUUGUUUUACAUGAAUGCUAAUAUUUCCCUCUCACACAUUUAUAUCUAUCAGCUAAAUCAGCAGCAAAGUAAACUCUUCUGGGAUACAUUCCUAUAUCAAUUAGCAAGAAUUUAUGCUCCAAAGCACCAUUAGCAUUAAUGGGAGUGUGCUCUUUAGCAUAAACAAUUGGCAAUAGAUCUAGUGGACUUUAUUUCAUAAACAAAGGAGCAUUUGAAUCUUAGAGCCUUGUUGCCUCAAGACUGCACUUCAGGGAGUGAUGUCCCAGCCUCCCCGGCUGCUCUGGGGACAUCUCACUCACAGGACAUGCAUAAAUUCCUGAGUUGCCAGCAAAAGGAGACAGUGUCAGUUUGGAAAGUGGGCUGACUUCUGGCACAAGCUUUUGCUGGCGUUUUCCCUUCUGAAAACCUGCCUGAGAACGCACCGAGCGAAACUUUUGGCAUUAUCUCCUGUCCCUCCGACCAACAGCUUGAGAAAUGUCACUGUGAGUGUUGUGUAGUGCCUCAGGAUGGGGACACAGAGGGGAGGGAGGGAGUUUGGAAAGGGACAGGAGGAAGAGCAUGAAGCCCUGUAGGAAAGAAACUGGUGGGUCCAUCAUCUCCUUCAGCUGCCAGCCUCACAGCACCAUGGCUUUCAGUAGAGAGCUGCACUAGCUCUCUAGACCAGUAAACAACCAAGUCUCAGCUUCCACAUGUAGGCCAACAUUUUUUCCCUCACCCUAUGUUUGAUCAACAAAUACACAACCAAAAUAUUUCAGCCUUAAUCUGAAGAGCUGGGGCAAAAGUCCACCACUUCCCAGUGGUGCAAGAUCUACUGAAUCCGUGGCCGUGCUGCUGCAGAUGUUUUUUCUGUAGGUUUUGGCUUUGCUCAGUUCUGCUACAUUAGAGCCCUUCUGCAUCUGCCAUUCCCCCCCAAAGGCACUCAUAAGCAAGUCUCAAGUUGCUUUUCAUCCCAUGUUCAUAAAACAAAUACAUCAUGCUCUAGAAGCAUCCACACACAAUAGUGGGUUUUAGUCCCCGAAUAAUUUGUGUGCUUUAUUUCUGCAACUUUUUUUCUUUUUUCCCCGACAUUCUUUCUAAAUUUGGGUUACCAGAGCCAGAUACAUUAUUUCAACAUCAAGUGGUGAAAUAUGCAGAAAUUUAAAAUUUCAUCCCUACUCUACUCCUCCGAAUGACACAGCCAGGGAUAGCGUCAGUCCCUCUAAAAAUAACAUGCAAAAGCAACAAAAUAUCACAUUAGCAGAAUUAUUUGGGGCUGCUCCUUGAGGAUGCUGAAAUCCCUCUGAGAUGCAUUGUGCUCCAGGUUCCUGUGUGUGUGGUCUGUUUGCCUGUUCUCCACUUGAAAGCCUCUUUACAACCACACUGAGAGCAUUUCUGUAUAACUACUAGUCACCUCCAAUAUUUUCCAAUGUUGUCAGCAGUUUUGGUAUUUACUUCCAAGUCAUUAUUGAAAAUAUUCAAUAGCAUUCAGACCCCCUCUAAAAAAACCACUCUCCUACAGUGAGUCUCCUUUGACAGCUUCUUUGUUGACAUGUCAGCCCAUUCUUAAUCCAUUUUAUGUGCCUUGUAUUGAUAGGGUAGAAUGCUAAUUUUUAAAUCAGAAUCUGUUGUGCUGUCAAACAUACAAAAGUCAGAAUAUAUUUCAUCUUUGCAAUUACUUUUAUCGGCCAAAACCUACAAUCACAUCAAAGAAUGAAAUCCAGUUUGACAACCCUUCCUCCCUUAAAAACAUGUUGAUUGGCAUUAAUUGUUUACCUCAUCUUUAAUGUGUUUAUACCCAUAUCAAUAUGUCCAUUAUUUUGCCAAAUUAAUGUCAAACUAGCCAACCAUGGGCUGGGCCAUCCUUCCUGUCUUUUAUCAGUACAUGGGAAUGUCACAUUUCCCAUCCCAUCUGGGAUUCUGCUGGUGUGCUCAAAUAUGCCUAAGGGUCCAUGUCAGUGGAUCAGAGCUCUCUGUUCUAUUCUCAGCCCCAGCCACCUGGGGCUACCACAUCUUCAACAAAAUGGUAGCUAAGUAGACUCUUACAGACCUAAGCUCAACAAUAAAAUAAACACACCUAAAGAAAUUUUUGUAGUUGAGUCCUGCCUCCUCAUCCAGGUAGAGCUGUCCAUUUAGUGUGGAAGCAGUGAAUAUUUGUUUAUAUGUGAUAUAUUAUGUAAAGAUCAAUAGGAAGCAUGUGUGAAGGUAAAAAUACCCUUUAAUUCACCAUCCUCUGAAGAGACAGAGCUGCUUUUAUUGGUGCACAUGUGAGUGAGUUCAAGCCCUGUGGCUUUGAAGGAGGCAGCAGAGAAGAGUCAGUGCCACCUGAGGAUACCUGGGGCCUAUUAGAGAAGAGAGAUGAUUUGGAAAUCAGAAGAAACCUUAACCAAACAGGCCUGGUAGUGCAGCAGCAGUAAGAGAGGAAGGUGCUGUACUGUUCUAUGCAGCAGCACAGGUGCUGGUUCAGGCCAUGGUGAUCCCACAGAGCUGUUGAGUUACCAAUGCAUCUGCUCAGAAACCUCAGCCCAGCAGACAUGAGCUGCUGCUUUACCCUGUAGCCAUCUCCACCAGUCAGGGUAACAAAAUGCAUCCUGCAUUUUUCCCCCAUGAAGCAGUGUGCUAAAGACCAGGCAGCGAGGGAGCUGUCUGGAGGUGUUGCUGACUUUCAGUGACUGUAAGAGACAACAGGAGCAAAAGGAAGUUUUCUCAGUAGAGACUUCAAGUAGUGCCCCCAGUGCCCAAGGAUACCCUGCUGACUGCUUAACUGCAGCCCCUGCAAAGAAGGGCAGUGCUGGGUUGAUGGCUGUACUUGAUGAUCUAAAAGGUCUUUCCCAACCCAAAUCAUUCUGUGAUUCCAGGGGCUUGCAGACAUGAUGCAGGAUGAAUAGGGCAUUUAUGACCUCCAGCUCUCCUAGGCCAUUUCAAGGGCUCUAAAUACUAAAAGUGUAGGAGUCUGGUGCAUCCAGGUACUCAGCUAAGGAUCCCUAAGCUUAGAAGAAUGAAUCUGUGAGCUGAAUCCCACUUUAAGGCCUAUAUUCACUUUGCUAAACCUGGGCCAUGUUGGAUACUCCCGGGCAACUCAAAUGGCAUUGAUUCCUGCAUUUAUUAAAGAAAAAUUGAGCUCUAGGGGUCUAAUUUGUAGACAGUUGAAGGUGAAAUACAGUGAAUCCUAUUGUUAACAAAUGAGCCCCAGGUGAUGUCCCAUAGGCCCUAAGUGGGAAUUGUACCAUACCAAUAAAAACACCAGCUGCACUAGAACUGCUUUUUAGGGGAUAGAUGUAUGCAGAAUAUCCCUCUGACAGGAAAGCCAGACCCCCGAGGACUUGUACUUACGUGAUCUAUAGAGCACCUCUGGCAUUAGUUUCAUCCUAUUCAGCUUUUGGCCUUGAGGAUCCCUAGGAAAUGAUUGCUUACAUUUCUUGUGGAUGUGGCAAAGUAUCAAAUAAUUAGUGACACUUGAGUCUCUGAUCCUGGUGUAAUCAUGCCACACACUUUAGCAUCCCACGUCCCUAAGCCAUGUAUCCUCUUGCUCAAAAGAAUAAUAAAAUAAAAAGCAGAAAACUUCACAGACUCACUGGGCAAUUUGUUGCUCUGCUUGACUGCCAUCAUGGUGAAGAUGUCUUUCCUGAUACCUCUAGUGUUGCAACUCAUGCCCUUUCCUCUCACACCUGCCAGAUGCCAUUACAAAAAUCCAUGCUAAAACAUCUUGAGAAGUCCCCCAAGGGCUCCAGGGCAGUGUGCCACUCUUAGGUGCCCCCAAGCUGUCUCUGCUCCAGGCUGAACAAGCCCAGCUCCCUCAGCCUCUGCUGGCAGGGGACAGCUUGGGCCAUGCUGGCAGUUUGUCCAUUACUUGGAUGUACUGGAGGCACCAGAAAGUGGAUGCAGUACCUAGACAUGGUAUAGCACAUUCUUAGUAGGUAGAUUUUCUGGGGGAUGUCCUGGCUCUGCUGCUCUCCAUGCAGCUGAAGCUGUUGGCUUGGUUUGCUGCCAGGGCUCACUGCUGGCUUGUGGUGACCUUCCAUCAGGACACACACCCCCACUCCACAUCCCUUUCAGCAGAGUUCCUCCCCAGCCUGUCCAUUCACAGCCUUUACCACUGCAAGCCCCUUUCCCUCUUGGGUGUGGGUCUCUGCAUUUGUCCUUCUUGAAUUUCACUCAUUUCCUGCUGGCCCUCUCCUCCAGCCUGCUCAGCUUGCUCUGAAUGACAGCCCCAUCCUUGGUCAUCCCUCAAAUAUUUUGUCAUUUGCAAAUUUCACAGGGUGGGACAUGUAGUGGUGUGAAAAAUCAAUGUUGCACUUGCCUUUGGUUGCAUUUCUCCUUCUACAUGUGGGUGAAUCUAAGGCAAGUCAAGGCUGAGGAGACAGUCACCACAUUAUGAUACUAGUCCCCUCUCCCUUUACUUUAAAAUUAAAAUAAAAUAAAAACAAGGAUAUUCCAGGAGGAGCCAAUAAAGGAAACAGGUAGUUCUCUAGCAGGCACAUGUAACUACUCACACAGCCCAUUCUGAGCACCCCUGGGCAUCAGAACUGGAAUAUCUUCUCAUCACCCUGCUGUGAAACACACUCAGGCAAUAUUCACUGGUCCUAACACCUACCAGUGCUUGUGGGUGUCCACAACAGCGACAGAGCUGUGGCUGCAGCACUGCCAGGAUGGCCAAGAUCCUUCUCAAGGAUCCUGUCACUUGCAAAUGACAGGAACACACCCACCCACCCAAUUCUCUUGCCAGCCAGUGUCAGUCUGCUGCAGUCAACUGAAAACAUUCUUCCCUUCCAUGGGCAUGAACACAACUUGUGGUACAAGGUUUUGGGCUUCCUGCUCUCCUGUCCUGAUCCCAGAUUUUUUUGCAAUUCACCUUUCUCCAACACACCCUGAGCAAACCUUGGGUUUCUAAUAAAUAUAUGGGAGGGGAAAGGGGAAAUAGCAACAGCACCAUUCAGCCAGGGACUGAGAAUAUGCUGACCAGAAAGGUGCACUCCUUGACCAGCAUAUGUGCAGGAGUCAGAGAGGUCACAGAGGACUCUUUCUCCUCCCCUUCCCACAUCCCAGCUUCCUGUCCCAAACAAUGGUCAUACAAGCCUAGAAAAUUGGGUGCCAUAGGCAGAUGUAUUGUCAGUUAAUCUUUUUUUUUUUUUUUUGCAAACACCAUUUGCCAAGCUAGUGGAUCCAAUGAUCAUCUUGGCCUUACACAGUUAAUACUAUCACAAAUUCCCAUGUGAGGUAGCCCUGCCUGUCCCCUUCCAAGCUCUUUCUGCAUGACUGGGAAUGCUUGCUUACUAAACAGCUUUUCUUUAUGCCAAAAAUAGACUUUCCAAAAGAAAGAAAACCCUAGCACAGCCCUAUCCCAGCCCAUGCACCUCCCUUUUAGUGUUCCUGCUUCCCAUACAAGAGUUACAGCUGCGGCCAACUUCUGAACAGCAGCAGAGGGGCUGGGGUGGGCUGGGCAGUGUAAGU
rnacentral:lncRNA from 1 species